ACGGGUGAGAAACGCGUAGGAAUCUGCCUUAUAGAGGGGGACAACCAGAGGAAACUCUAGCUAAUACCGCAUAAUGUCUGCGGACCAAAGGCUGGGUAGCAAUACCUGGCGCUAUAAGAGGAGCCUGCGUCCGAUUAGCUAGUUGGUAGGGUAAAGGCCUACCAAGGCGAUGAUCGGUAGCUGGUCUGAGAGGAUGAUCAGCCACACUGGGACUGAGACACGGCCCAGACUCCUACGGGAGGCAGCAGUGGGGAAUAUUGGACAAUGGGGGCAACCCUGAUCCAGCAAUACCGCGUGUGUGAAGAAGGCCUUCGGGUUGUAAAGCACUUUAGGUUGGGAAGAAGGUGUAUUGUUUAAGAGAUGAUACAUUUGACGGUACCGACAGAAUAAGCACCGGCUAACUCUGUGCCAGCAGCCGCGGUAAUACAGAGGGUGCAAGCGUUAAUCGGAGUUACUGGGCGUAAAGGGCGCGUAGGCGGUUAUUUAAGUGAGAUGUGAAAUCCCUGGGCUUAACCUAGGAACUGCAUCUUAUACUGGGUAACUGGAGUACUGUAGAGGGUAGUGGAAUU
rnacentral:rRNA from 1 species